rnacentral:misc_RNA from 1 species
AUUUCUUCAGGAAGUAAUUGAUUUUGCUAUCUGAGUAUGCAAGUCUUCCCUAUUGAUUAUUCUUGCUGAAGUACUGUUUCCUUGAGGAGGAAUUGCAAUUGACAUUUGGCUUGGCAUUUCUUUUAUGGCGAAGUUUGCCUCAAAAGGAGGCUAAUUAGAUCUUAUUGUGAUUUGGGGAAAGAAUGUUUUUGUAAGUGGAAUUUGUGGUGAAGAAAAAGAAAAAGAUGAUGAGAGGACUAAAAGAUGAGGAAAAAGUGAUAAGUCCUAUGUUUCCUAGGCUUCAUGUGAA